AUGGUGCCUGCGAGAGUCGGGCCCUGUCUCGGGUUCCCAGUGUCUCCGAGUUUCAUCCAUCCCGCCCACUCGCUUGCUGAGGGCCGCGCCCCGUGCCGCCGCCCCCCGGGGGCCACCCGCACUGCUCGUGGACUGAGGCCUUACUGCUUGGUGUCAGACUGCCCACCCCAGAGUGCCUGUCAGGGCCUGUGCAUCCGCACCCGGAGCCGUCGGUUAGGAGCUUCCAGAGCGUUCUCGACAUCGCCAGCCCCGCAGUCGCGCCUGGGCAGCACACUCGAUAUGGACCAGUUCAUGCGCAAGAGGAUCGAGGCGAUCCGCGGGCAGAUCCUGAGCAAGCUGAAGCUUACCAGACCCCCAGAAGACUAUCCUGAGCCCGAGGAAGUCCCCCCGGAGGUGAUUUCCAUCUACAACAGCACCAGGGACUUGUCCAGGAGAAGGUGAGCCGGAGGCCUGCCACCUGCAAGCGCGAGAGGAGCGACGAGGAGUACUACGCCAAGGAGGUUUACAAAAUAGACACGCCGCCCUUCUUCCCCUCCGAAAAUGCCAUCCCGCCCACUUUCUACAGACCCGACUUCAGAAUUGUCCGAUUUGAUGUCUCAGCAAUGGAGAAGAAUGCUUCCAAUUUGGUGAAAGCAGAGUUCAGAGUCUUUCGUUUGCAGAACCCAAAAGCCAGAGUGCCUGAACAACGGAUCGAGCUGUAUCAGAUUCUCAAGUCCAAAGAUUGAACAUCUCUAACCCAGCGCUACAUCAACAGCAAAGUUGUGAAAACAAGAGCAGAAGGCGAAUGGUUCUCUUUUGAUGUAACUGAUGCUGUUCAUGAAUGGCUUCACCAUAAAGACAGGAAUCUGGGGUUUAAAAUAAGCUUACACUGUCCCUGUUGUACUUUUGUACCAUCUAAUAAUUACAUCAUCCCAAAUAAAAGCGAAGAACUAGAAGCAAGAUUUGCAGACUUGAGUCACAACAGACCAACCGGCGGAAGACGCGUGCUUUGGAUGCAGCCUAUUGCUUUAGAAAUGUGCGGGGCAAUUGCUGCCUACGCCCACUUUAUAUUGAUUUCAAGAGGGCUCUUGGGUGGAAAUGGAUACACGAACCCAAAGGGUACAAUCCCAACUUCUGUGCUGGAGCGUGCGCAUAUUUAUGGAGUUCAGACACUCAGCACAGCAGGGUCCUGAGCUUAUAUAAUACCAUAAAUCCAGAAGCAUCUGCUUCUCCCUGCUGUGUGUCCCAAGAUUUAGAACCCCUAACCAUUCUCUACUACAUCGGCAAAACAUCCAAGAUUGAAAAGCUUUCUAAUAUGAUUGUAAAGUCUUGCACUACAAAUGCAUUUUUUAUGAUAUUUGCCCUACUUGUGCUUUGUGUAUUGUUCAUUAUUAUGACAUAAGCUACCUGGGUCCACUUGUCCUUUUUUUCUUUUACAAAAAAGAUGGGUUCGAGUUCAGCCGUCUUCCUUCAUCUUCUAAGCAUCAUUACUAUGUCAGACGUCAACAAGCUUUUAUGUUAGGAAAAGGAGAAAUGCUAUAGAUACAUAGAAAAUUGAGGUCAAAUGUUUUAGUUUUAGCAAGGAUUUAGGAAUCUAACUAAAACUCAGACGCUUGAUUGAGUUAAGAAAGUUUUCUCUACCUUGGUGUAAUCAAUAUUUUUAUAAAAUUCUAUUGUUAUUACAAAGCAGACACUUCAUAGGAAACAUCUUUUUCUUUAGUCAGGUUUUUAAUAUUCAGGGGGAAAUUGAAAGAUAGAUAUUUUAGUUGAUUUUUCAAAAGGGAAAAAGUCCAGGUCAGCUUAAGUCAUUUUGUGUAUUUCACUGAAGUUAAGGUUUUCAUAAAUGUUCUGUCAAGGUGAAAAGGCACAAGCCAAUUUUUCCUAUGAUCAAAAAAUUCUUUCUUUCCUCUGUGUGAGAGUUAUCUAUAGCUGAGGCUAAAGUUUACCUUGCUUUAAUAAAUAAUUUGCCACAUCAUUGCAGAAGAGGUAUCUUCAUUUGGGGUUUAUAGAAUAUGUCAGUUUGUCACUUUUCCCUUAUUUAGCUUUCAAAUAAAAAUUAAUAGGUAAAGCAAUGGAAUAUUUGCAGUUUCACCUAAAGAGCAGCAUAAGGAGGUGAGAAUCCAAAGUGAAGUUGUCUGAUAUGGUCUACUUCUUUUUUGGAAUUUCCUGACCAUUAAUUAAAGAUUGGAUUUGCAAGUGUGAAAACUGGAAAAGCAAGAGACGGGAUGCCACAAUAGUAAACAGCCCUUGAGUUGGAUGUAACCCAAUCCCAGCUUUGAGUGUGUGUUGAUUAUUUCUUUUUUGUCUUCCACUUUUCUAUUAAUUAUGUGUAAAUCAUUUUUACUUCUGCAGGUAUUUUCCUCUCAGAUAGGAUGACAUUUUGUUUUGUAUUAUUUUGUCUUUCCUCAUGAAUGCACUGAUAAAAUUUUAAAAGCUCUAUUUUAAGAUCUCUUGAAUCUUUUUUUUUUAAUUUGGGGGGUUCUAUAAGAUCUUUAUUUCCCAUAAGUAAAUUUUGCUGUGGGAGGGGGGUGGAGGCGGGAAGGCAGGGGGGAAGUGGUAGUAUGCAAGUGGGCAGCAAUUUUUUUUGUGUUAAUCAGCAGUACAAUUUGAUCAGUGGCAUGGUUUGAAAAACGGAAUAUAAGAUAAGCUGUUUUGUAUUUUGAUGACCAAUUAUACUGUAUUUUAACACGAUGUAUGUCUGUUUUUGUGGUGCCCUAGUGGUAAAUAAAUUAUUUCAAUGAUAAAAAAAA